UCAGUAGCGGCGAGCGAACAGGGAAGAGCCCAGCACCGAAUCCCGCGUCCGGUUCCGGUCGCUGGGAAAUGUGGUGUUAGGGAGGGUCCGCAAUCCUGAGGUCGCUCGGCGAGUCAAAGUCCUUCUUGAACGGGGCCACUUACCCAGAGAGGGUGCCAGGCCCGUGGGACCGGGGUCGAUCGCGGGAGGAUCUCUCCUCAGAGUCGGGUUGCUUGAGAGUGCAGCCCUAAGUGGGUGGUAAACUCCAUCUAAGGCUAAAUACAACCACGAGACCGAUAGCGAACAAGUACCGUGAGGGAAAGUUGAAAAGAACUUUGAAGAGAGAGUUCAAGAGUACGUGAAACCGUUCAGGGGUAAACCUGAGAAACCCGAAAGGUCGAACGGGGAGAUUCAAUCGCGUCUCGGAUGGUUCGGCGAGGUGUAGGCGAGUGACGGGCGGCCCACGGGCCGUCAUGCGCCGUCUGCGCCCGUCCGACGCCGAACGCGUGCACUUCUUCCCUAGUAGGACGUCGCGACCCGUUGGCGGCCGGCCUAAGGCUCGCGGUGGAGCUCGUGCGUAUUUUGCGCACGGACCCGUGGUGUCCCGGCCGGCCUGCAGACGGUACUACGGAGGCGCGGGGCCGCGACCAGUUCGCGUCCGGCCCGCGGCAAGCGCGGACGGUUAACUCGACUUACGGACCUAGUGCCGGAGUCGGGCCCGUCCGGCUGCUGGCUGUGGUGUCCUCGGACAGACCCCGUACACGCCCGUCGGCGACGAUAUAGCUUUGGGUACUUUCAGGACCCGUCUUGAAACACGGACCAAGGAGUCUAGCAUGUGCGCGAGUCAUUGGGACUUUGCGAAACCUAAAGGCGAAAUGAAAGUGAAGGUCCGCCUUGCGCGGACCUAGGGAGGAUUGGUCGUCCUAGGGCGACCACGCACUCCCGGGGCGUCUCGCUCUCAUUGCGAGAAGAGGCGCACCUAGAGCGUACACGCUGGGACCCGAAAGAUGGUGAACUAUGCCUGGUCAGGACGAAGUCAGGGGAAACCCUGAUGGAGGUCCGUAGCGAUUCUGACGUGCAAAUCGAUCGUCGGAACUGGGUAUAGGGGCGAAAGACUAAUCGAACCAUCUAGUAGCUGGUUCCCUCCGAAGUUUCCCUCAGGAUAGCUGGCGCUCGCCGCGUGCGAGUCUCAUCUGGUAAAGCGAAUGAUUAGAGGCAUUGGGGUCGAAACGGCCUCAACCUAUUCUCAAACUUUAAAUGGGUGAGAUCUCCGGCUUGCUUGAACAGUGAAGCCGCGAGAUUUCGGAUCAGAG
rnacentral:rRNA from 1 species